rnacentral:pre_miRNA from 1 species
GGAGGAUUGCUUGAGCCUGAGAGGUAGAGGCUGCAGUGAGCCGUGAUCAUGCCACUGCACUCCAGCCUGAGUGACAGAGCAAGAC